GAACAGAGUCUAGCCGGUGUGUUUUGGGGAAAGUUGAGAAGACCACAGAAAGCCGGUUUGAACUGUCACAAAAAGCACAAGGAAAGAGGCCAUGGAAUCGAACACCCCCAAAGGAGCCCAGGACUUAAAACCCUCCUGAGAGCUGGAGCAAUUCGGAGAGCACGGCAGAUUCUCGGACGCCAUAGGCCCAGGGCAGCACUCCCAUCCAUCCUUCCCCCGCCUCUUCGUCUUACGUUACACCCAGGCCUGGCCAGCUUUGGGGUAGUGCAUGUAGCAUCAUACACUAGCUGGAAGGGAUCCAGCAGCAGAAGCAGCUGGCAACAUGAGAGCUGAUGUCCAGGAGGAGGGCUUGGCUACACUUGAGCUAGAGCGCAAUAAAGAAGCCCCGGGCGCUCUAGCUCACUCCCCGUCCACACUGGCAAGGCACGUAGAGAGCUCUGACUCCAUGGCUACAGCACUGCUGGUACUCCACCUCGGCGAGUGGAAUAACGUUUGCUGCCCCCCCGUUGGAGUGCUGCAGCGCCAGUGUGGACGAGGUGUUGCAUUACUGCGCUCUGAUCAGCCUCCGGAAACAUCUCAUAAUCCCCUUAAGUCAAGUGGCCACCCUUGUCAUUGUUUUGAAUCGCUGUAGGAAUGCAUGAUAUAAAAAAGCUAAGUAUUAUUAUUAUUAUGUCUAUUGCAGACACACUUUUUAUAA